CGGAGGUGUCAGUCGUGCCGGCACUCCGGUACCGAUUGGCCGCCGCGGCCCAGGCAGCAGUCUGGCUUAGCUGAAGAGCCAUCUGUGCCUGUUCCAGCUGCCCCUAGGGACUCUCACAUGACCAGUGCUCCGUAGUCUUGCUUCAUGGUGCUUGGAGAGAACAGCUCUGUGGCCAUUCCACCUUGCCCAUACAGCUUUUCCGUGGGGAGCAAGGAAGACAAGUUUUGGCGUAACAUGCAGGGAAGACAACUUGCAAAGGCUGAUCUGAAGAGGAUAACAGGAAGGUCCAGUAUCUGAACUGCUACAAAAGUGAAAUAUAUGGUGGCUCAGACAGGAAUGCAGAGCCAUGGAAAUAAAGCAGCUCAAAUGGAGAACAGCACAACUAAAGCAAAACCUUCACAUGGGGUGCAGUGGUAAAUCUGCCCUACUGCUUCCUCCAAUAAAGGGUCAUUUCCUUUUCA